CCCCAAAGCCCUUCAAUUCGUGUGUGUGUGUGUGUGUGUGUGUGUGUGUAUCCUCGAGCGUGUGAUCAAGGCGAAACAGGAUUGCUGGAGCUCCACUUGUAGCUUAUACAUAUCUAACAAUCCAGUGAGUUUGUCACUUGGCGGAACAUGAUGCCGUGACACGCAUGCCUCCUCGCGCCACCUGCUUCAGCCUGCCUCCCACUUGUCCCUCUCGGAAUACAAAACAAGCCAGUCACCGCGACCCGCCCGAGCACCAGCAGUCAAAAUGCUUUGUUUACGUGGUAAGCAUUACAGUGCAUGAGCUCUUCUUUCAAUUUCUGGGAACUUCUACGAGCGCCCGAGGUCAAGCGGCUCGAACCUCUAACGCUGAAACAGUCACUGUCGGGAAUGCCCGCUGCCCAGUGGCUACCUGCCUGAUUAGGAGUGUGGUGGGUGACCGAUCAUACUUCCCAGUCCUAUCUUCGAUGUUUUGCCAUGCCCGCUCAUCGCCGCCCUCCAGUCUGCCUACGUAUACCUGGCCAGGUACUCGUAUGAUCAUAGUGUCCUGACAAAAUUCAGUGUGGCGGCGUGGCGGGGACUGUAUGACAUUCAUAAUGAUCAUGGAUGAUGAAACACGGCCAAUGAGACAUGCAGGUGUUCGAUGCAGUGAGGGAUGAGCAGAGUGGUGCAUGGGUGGCCGUUGGUGCCCUGCUUGUUCAUGGCCCAGCACAGCACGAUCAUCUUGGUGAGGGAGAGCGGCGUGGUGUAGGUGAGACGGGAGGUGUUGCCCGACCAUUCAAACUAUGUGGAGAACGAUGGUAUGCAGGUCGUCGUGUUCUCCCCGGGGUGUGUCAAGCAGUCGAGAUGCCACAAUGCCAGCCGGUCUUAGCCAGUGCUCGGGAGAAGAACACCAGGGCCGCGUGCAGGGCGACAAUAAUUAGUGUUAGUUCAUUCAGUACGAAGGCAACAGCGUUUAGUUAUAAUUUUGAGGUCGUUAAAUUUACACUUGUCAAUUGUGUAAUCCCAGAUAUGGCAUAUACCCAAGAGGUUGUGCGUCAAAGACUCAUUUGUACAAACUGUAUGGCGAUACGCUGCCACCAGGUGCACAUCGUGUGUGGUUCUACACGGCAGCAAGAUCAGCCUAUGUGUACACCAUAGGAGGUAACAUCGGCAUUCGCAUUGGUGAUGUUAUCAUCAGAUGUACCUA